CAGGCCUUGAGGUGGGGGAGGCAGGAAGGCCCCGGAGCCACCAGGGGCAGAGGAAAGGCUCGACCCCAGGGGUGGCCGAGGAGGCGAAGGGCUGUGGGGAAAAGGGACGUGGCUCCACUGCGGGGUUUCCGAUGGCGUCUGACACCUGUUCUCUCCCCUCAGUACAUGGGCUGCAUCGAGGUCCUCCGCUCCAUGCGCUCCCUGGACUUUAACACACGCACGCAGGUGACCAGGGAAAGCCAUCAACCGGCUCCACGAGGCCGUGCCUGGCGUCCGGGGAUCCUGGAAGAAAAAGGUGAGUUGAGGCUUGUGGUCUCUCGUGGGGCCGGUGGGGCACUUGGGAGCGCGGGGACGCUGUGGCCAUCCUGGGAGCCCCUCGGCGGGCCCCACCCAUGGCCGCCCUCGCUGUGCUCCGCCCCCAACUCAGGCCCCCAACAAGGCCCUGGCGUCUGUCCUGGGCAAGAGCAACCUUCGCUUCGCCGGCAUGAGCAUCUCCAUCCACAUCUCCACCGACGGCCUUCAGCCUCUCCGUGCCCGCCACGCGCCAGGUCAUCGCCAACCACCACAUGCCGUCCAUCUCCUUUGCAUCGGGCGGAGACACGGACAUGACGGAUUACGUGGCCUACGUCGCCAAGGACCCCAUCAACCAGAGAGCCUGCCACAUCCUGGAGUGCUGUGAAGGCCUGGCCCAGAGCGUCAUCAGCACCGUCGGCCAAGCCUUCGAGCUGCGCUUCAAGCAGUACCUGCACAGCCCACCCAAGGUGGCACUGCCCCCAGAAAGGUAACAGACCCGCCUCCCCCAUGCCCUGGGGACGCCCCCAGCGACCUGCCCGGGUGCAGAGCCGGCUCCACCUCCUGCAGGCCUCGGCCUCCAUCCUGCCCUUGUCCCUCCCUCCCUGUCCCCGAGAAUGUGGCUCGGCCAGAGGAUCCUGUUUCCUCGGCUGUAACACCCGGGUGAACGCAUCCCCGCCCCCAGGACUGGGGAGGACUGAGCGAGCUGACUCCCCGGUGUGCCCGAGGCUGUCAGCCCUGCCGCUAUAACCAACAUCCCUCCUCCAGACGCACGGCCGGCUCAACGGCCUCUGUCUCACCGCAGAAGAUGUGUGUGGGGGGCGUGUCUGUGUGCUGGUAACGUUAUUCAUAGACGUUGAAGUGUGAAUGUCACGUGUCGCAAAAUAUGAUUCUCUGGAUGUUUCUCAAACACUUAACUUUGAUGAUUUAGAGGCUGAACGCCCAUUCUUAGCUCGUGGGACACACAGAUCUAGGCAGUGAGCUGGAUUUGGCCCUGGGCUGGGGUUUGCCAGCCGGCCUUGGAGAAGGAGGCAUUUAAGUCUAUUCAUCAUUAGAAAGUCACGUUCCUCCAGCGGUGGGAGGGCAGGUGCAGGCCCGUGAGCUCCCAGCCCUGCUGGUCACGCGUGCUCACGCUCACCCCUUUGUGCACAGGGACGGCG
rnacentral:lncRNA from 1 species